rnacentral:rRNA from 1 species
UAGGGAAUCUUCGGCAAUGGGGGGAACCCUGACCGAGCAACGCCGCGUGAGUGAAGAAGGUUUUCGGAUCGUAAAGCUCUGUUGUUAAGGAAGAACGAGUGUGAGAAUGGAAAGUUCAUACUGUGACGGUACUUAACCAGAAAGGGACGGCUAACUACGUGCCAGCAGCCGCGGUAAUACGUAGGUCCCGAGCGUUGUCCGGAUUUAUUGGGCGUAAAGCGAGCGCAGGCGGUCAAUUAAGUCUGAUGUGAAAGCCCCCGGCUCAACCGGGGAGGGUCAUUGGAAACUGGUUGACUUGAGUGCAGAAGAGGAGAGUGGAAUUCCAUGUGUAGCGGUGAAAUGCGUAGAUAUAUGGAGGAACACCAGUGGCGAAGGCGACUCUCUGGGCUGUAACUGACGCUGAGGCUCGAAAGCGUGGGUAGCAAACAGG